AGACUGCUUGGAGUUGGAGGGCGACUGCCCUCUCGAUCACUUUGCCCAAAAAUGAUAAAAGUUAGCUCUAGCGUAUAUUAGUCAUGCUUGAUCCUUCAUAAGCAAUACGCAUGUUUUCAUGUUGUCAAAAGCCAAAAGGAAAUAACAGGGAGUGAAAUUAACAGAAUACCAUUGAAUUUUUUCCUGCCACAACAGGCUACUAAUGUCACCGUCUGGAUAAAACAUUUUCUGUGAAAAUAACAGUCGUGGAGAUGGUAUCCAAUCAAGGGCAUGGAGGAAGAUAGUACCUAUGCCUUGGCCUUCUGUGACAGUGUGGCCUCAACCCCUUGCCACCCCUGAGGCAUUUGGCAGUGGGCAAUGGAAAAAGUGGCAGUGGAGCCUGUUUUCAUAGCCUUUCUUUCUCAGGAGCCGGUGUGGUCUACUCAGUCUACCUCCUUCAUACGCUUUGCAUUUCUCCUCAACUCCCGGGCGACAUGUAAAGUGCAGGAACGGGAGCAGAGUUCAACAUUCUCGU